rnacentral:lncRNA from 1 species
GCCUGGGUCAUUCGCUCAGAUUCAAAGGGCAAAAGAUCAGCCAGUGGCAAGGACCCGCGGGUGACCUGGUGCUGUGGUCCCCUAGCUCCUGAGACGGGCCUUCUCCAUUGAGAGCCACUGAAUUCCCCACUGUCCAUCGCUCAGCAGCCAGUCUGGGCAAAUGGGGGGUCACUUCUGGCUCUAGCUGUGCUGAGACACUUGGACCACAGGGUCCUUUUCUGAUUCCUACUCCAGCAUGCAUUGUCGGGGACUUGUCCCCUCAGCCCUCGGCUACUGGUGGGGAAGAGGCCCUCCUGCCACCUGCACUGAGCAGGCCCAGGCCCAGCUCCUGUUCAACCAGGAAGACAGAAAAUCCCGAGGGCAUGACCUGCCCACUUCGGCCACUGGGCCUGAGGGGAGGCAGGGAGGCUUCCAGCACAGGGGCCCAGGGAGGGCUCAGGAGCCAAGGAACGGCACCUAGCUGUGGCACAGGUGGCAGGGCCACUGUGCUAAAGAUGUGUCCAUUCUGCACCUGACCCCCUGUCCCCACGGCCUGGAGCAGCUAUUCUCAAAGACAGGUUGAGGCCAGGCAGGGGCCAGAGGCCCCACUGUGUCUCCAGGAAGGUCUUACUGUCCUUACUGGUUUUAUUCCUGGAGAGACCUGCGUUCUCCUCAGUGUUUAGAGCAGCUCAACUCACAGUAGCCAAGCUACAGAACCAGCAUAGAUGCCCCUCAGCAGAUGGAUGGAUAAAGAAACUGUGGUCCCUAUACACAGUGGAAUAUUACUCAGCCAUAAAGAAGAAUGAAAUGAUGGCAUCUGAAGGUCAAUGGAUGGAGCUGGAGAGGAUCAUGCUGAGUAAGUAAGCCAAUUCCAAAAACCAAAGGCCGAGUGUCCUCUCUGACAUGCAGAUGCUGACUCACAAUAGGGGAGAAGAGAAGAG